rnacentral:rRNA from 1 species
GUCGUGCGUGCCCCGUCGCCCGAAUGCGCUCCUAC